GUUUUAGUAGUUUAAACUCAAAACGCUGGUCUUGUAAAUCAGCAAUAAGUCUCCCGUUCUUCUAAAACU
rnacentral:tRNA from 1 species